GCAUCAUCUGCCAAUGAUGUGAUAAUCUCAGAAAGAAUCCAGUUCUCUGUAGCUAGAUCUACACUGUAUUCAUCUCAAUGUUGGCUCUGCAAGCUGAGCAGUUUUAUCACUUAUGGAUCUGAAAGCAGUGCCAAAAGCCAGUGAAUUACCGACUGAGAUUUCAGAAUAUUGCAAAAAGUGAAACCAAGAUUCAAGCAAGGCUAUUCAGAAUCUUUCUGUAGGAACUCUGACUACUGAGUACAAGCAAACAAAAAGCAACUGUAGGUAGAAACGAUAAGUUCUGAGUUAAUAUAAGCAGGAGAAGGAUUCAAUCCACUGUUGCUGGCUUUUAUGCCAGAGGAGUCUGUGAGCCAGGGAUCGUGGGCAGUUUCCAGUAACUCGAACAGGACCAGCCAUCAGUCAACAAGGAAACAGAAAUCUCGAUUCAUGGAAUUUGUGGCACUGAAUUCUGCCAACACCCUGAAUGAGCCUAGAAGUGUUUUCUCCCCAGAUCCUCCAGAUAAGGCCUGCUGACAACUUGAUUUGGCCUCAUGUAACCCAGAUAGAGAAAAUGGGUAAGCCCAUCCAGGCCUCGAACCUAAAGCACUGUGAGAUAACACAUUUGUGGCAUUUUAAGUUACUAAAUUUGUAAU